rnacentral:rRNA from 1 species
CACGUAGGGGCAAGCGUUGUCCGGAUUUAUUGGGCGUAAAGAGCUCGUAGGUGGCUGAGUAAGUCGGAUGUUAAAUCCCCAGGCUCAACCUGGGACACCACCCGAUACUGCUCUGGCUAGAGUCCGGUAGGGGAGCGUGGAAUUCCUGGUGUAGCGGUGAAAUGCGCAGAUAUCAGGAGGAACACCGGUGGUGUAGACGGCUUUCUGGACCGUAACUGACGCUGAGACACGAAAGCGUGGGUAGCAAACAGG